GGGAGUCACUCUGCCACCUGUAGAGGAUGUCUUUGAACAUGUUUUGAAAUGUGGUUUCCCUGAGAGAAUAUAGGAUAGUUUGGAAUUUGUGGAAUUUGAAGAACAGUGAAGAUCAUCUAGUGCUGCCUCAACACCCUGAGGUGCUCUGCGCCACUUUCCAAGCAAGUAGUAGAUGGUUAAUUAUUUACUUGUUCCAUAGGCUCCUGAAGGAAUUAGGUGCAGAGAGAAAUACAUUUCAGUGUUGUUUGCUCUAAGUACUGUAGUCUGUAAGUUUUAUACAGGUUUAUAACUAUAAUUCUUUUUCCUUAAAAAAAAUCAAUCAAACAAACAAACAAACAUGUUAUUUCUUGCGGAGAAACUCUAACAAGAUUUGCAAAGAAACAUCCCAAAUUGGUAUGCAAGC
rnacentral:lncRNA from 1 species